UGUAAGGCACCAGCGAACGGUCGCGCGAUUUCACAGCUCGCAGUCGGAGGCCGGAGUCAACGAGAACCCCCCCUUCCUCGCCGUCGGUGUGGCGCCCCGCCAGCCUUGCUACAAGACCGACCCAAGUCUCACCCAGACACAUGAUUCAUCUGCACAAAAGUCUUGGCCUCAUCGCAUGAUCACAGACCAGCUAAGUCCAUAGGGUCGAUAGAUCCACAGGUGUCCAGAGAUCCACAAGCCGGGGAUACCCUUCACGUGACCCGCGGCGUCCAGGAACCGUAUUGCUGUUGGACAAGAGAUCAUGUGUCGUCUAAUUGAGCAGAAAUAUUGCCUUCAACCUCUUGUUUUUUUCGCGCUAAAUGAAGACUCUUUUUUUGGUUGGCCCGCCAAUACGUCCCGCGAGGUUUGGAUGAAAUCAAACUAAUAGCUCCUCGCUAUUAAAGCGCGGUAAUGAGGAAGAGAGAUUGUCGGCAUUUGAGAAUGGUGCCAUUGGAGCCUUCAGGCCAAACUUGUCUCAAGUCUUCAGCCUCAUUCCUAUCAUAGUAUGUACCGGUUGGUACUUUUACUGAAAAGACUCGCUUUUCCUCCCUCUUCAAGACUCUAUGCUGGAAAUGUCUAUGCUGGAUAUGUCUAUAUCACGGCCCAUGACGUUGUUGGCUGCAUUGGAUAAAGGUGUUUCAUAGUACAGUACGGGUGACCCCCACAGGGUCAUUCCCCGAGCGAAAUCCCGUACAAGCUCUUGUGAAAUUCUCUCCACAGCAGCAAUCUCCGUCCCAAAGCGUAUCUCCACCUGGAGCAAGGUUGGCUCGGAUAAAUUUGCCUCCCUGCGUCGAAAAUUGCGCUCUUGAGACAUUUCGUUGGGCCUGAGACAGUUGGCACGUCAGGUGCGACGAUUUGCACCGUACAUGGUCCUUGGUUGUAUCAUUGGUUUUGCCUGUGAUAUCGAUACGGUACAGUAGUUAUAUCAAUGCAUUGCAUGCAUGAUCCGAAACACAGAUCAACCAAUACUGCAGAAAGGAAUGGACCAAUGGCCAAA
rnacentral:misc_RNA from 1 species